CCUACGGGAGGCAGCAGUAAGGAAUAUUGGACAAUGGGCGAAAGCCUGAUCCAGCCACGCCGCGUGCAGGAUGAAGGUCCUCUGGAUUGUAAACUGCUUUUGACAGAGACGAACGGUCGGGAUUUAUCUUGAUGUGACGGUAUCUGUCGAAUAAGCACCGGCUAACUACGUGCCAGCAGCCGCGGUAAUACGUAGGGUGCAAGCGUUAUCCGGAUUUACUGGGUUUAAAGGGUCCGCAGGCGGUUUGAUAAGUCAGUGGUGAAAUAACAGGGCUCAACCUUGUUGCUGCCAUUGAUACUGUUGAACUUGAGAUUAGUAGAGGUGGGCGGAAUGUAGCAUGUAGCGGUGAAAUGCGUAGAUAUGCUACAGAACACCGAUUGCGAAGGCAGCUCACUGGACUACAUCUGACGCUAUGGACGAAAGCGUGGGUAGCGAACAGGAUUAGAUACCCUGGUAGUCCACGCCCUAAACGAUGUUUACUCGACAUAUGGACAAUUGGGUGUAUGUGUCUAAGCGAAAGCGUUAAGUAAACCACCUGGGGAGUACGUCGGCAACGAUGAAACUCAAAUGAAUUGACGG
rnacentral:rRNA from 1 species